rnacentral:rRNA from 1 species
UAAAUCAGUUAUGGUUCACUAGAUCGUAUUUUUUACAUGGAUAACUGUGGUAAUUCUAGAGCUAAUACAUGCAUCUCGCCGGUGCCCUCGUGGCGCCGGUGCAGUUAUUUGCUCAAAACCAAUCAGGCCCUCGGGUCUGUCAAUUGGUGACUCUGAAUAACCGAAGCGAAGCGCGUGGUCUCGAACCGGCGCUAGAUCUUUCAAGUGUCUGACUUAUCAGCUUGUUGUUAGGUUAUGUUCCUAACAAGGCAGUUACGGGUAACGGAGUGUUAGGGCCCGACACCGGAGAGGGAGCCUGAGAAACGGCUACCACAUCCAAGGAAGGCAGCAGGCGCGCAAAUUACCCACUCCCGGCACGGGGAGGUAGUGACGAAAAAUAACGAUGCGAGAGCUUUAUGCUUCUCGUAAUCGGAAUGGGUACACUUUAAAUCCUUUAACGAGGAUCUAUUGGAGGGCAAGUCUGGUGCCAGCAGCCGCGGUGAUUCCAGCUCCAAUAGCGUAUAUUAAAGUUGCUGCGGUUAAAAAGCUCGUAGUUGGAUCUGGGUAGUCGAUGAGCGGUGCGCUUUACGGCGUGACUGUUCGUUCGGCACCACAUACCGGCCAUGUCUUGCAUGCUCUUCGUUGAGUGUGCUUGGCGACCGGAACGUUUACUUUGAAAAAAUUAGAGUGCUCAAAGCAGGCGCUUAAGCCUUGCAUAAUGGUGCAUGGAAUAAUGAAAUAAGACCUUGGUUCUAUUUUGUUGGUUUUCGGAGCUCGAGGUAAUGAUUAAUAGGAACAGACGGGGGCAUU